AUGCUACCACCCUGCUGCAGCUCCCAAGCAGCACUCUCAGCCGCUGGGCAAGUCUCUGUCGGGACACGGCCUGGAAGACAGCAGGAAGAGAAGUUUUACAUCCCACGGGCACGCAGCUCCGAGCUAAACCACAGCCACCGCGUCAACGAGCCGCCUGCUGGGCAGCCGAUUAACGCGGCCUCCGGGAAGCUUCCCGGUGCACUAGCACAGAACACCUUUCAUCCGAAGACUCGAGGCCAUGGAAAAAGAAAAAAGAAAAGAAAACCUUUACCUGAAAAACGCACAUGGAUAGGCUUGUACAUGGAUUCAGACAGGCCGAAGGGGCUAUUCAGUCUCUGCGAAACCCCGGCACAACCUGUGUUCCCCGACGGGAGCUGGGACACCUCCGCUGCAGAGGCAGGGGAAGGGGAGCGCCCCUGCACGGCGCAGCCUGCCCGAAAGCCGCGGGACGUGUCCCGGCCCCGGCUGCAGCAGGAACCGACGGGCACGCUCCCUGCCUCCCGAGGAGUCCGGAGACAUUCCCUGCGUUGUUUCCUCACGCUCGUAGCGCAGAGGUGGCACAGGCUGGGGGCAGCGCCUCAGGCAGCAGCCAGGGAGGACGGCGGCAGCCCCAAAGCCCCAGCAGGGAUCCAGCACGGGCACUCUUGCCUCGCAGCUCCCCGCCGCGCUCCGGUUUCGGGGCUGCGCAAGGCAGAGAGAGCAAGAGCUGGGUGCUGGCCCUGCGGCAGGGUGCUCCACGGGAACCUCUCUCAACCUCUCUUUGACAUCUCAGAAAUUUCGCGUGUGUGGGAGACAGACGCUUCUUGGCUUCCCAAAGGAAUCCGCGCAUCUAAACAAAGCGGUGCCUCCAAACCCGUGACCCCACGGGCCCCGGCCAGCCGCAGGCCGAGGGCGAUGCCCAGGGAGGUACCUGAGGAGCCCUCCCAGGCACGACCCGCCCCCAGCCCCCCGAAAUCCCCCCGGCACACCGCUCCGGGGGGUGCCGACUCCCCGCCUGGCUCCACUUUGGCACCCAAACGCCACGUGCCGGAGGCGAGGCCGCUUGCACCAGGGGAGAGGCUCUGGAAGGAAAGCACGACCGAGGAGGAGCAGCCCUGGACUUUGGGAUCGUUCUUCUCACUUGGGCUGCUCUGGGACUUUUACGUUCCCUGA
rnacentral:lncRNA from 1 species